rnacentral:rRNA from 1 species
UACGAAGGGGGCUAGCGUUGCUCGGAAUCACUGGGCGUAAAGCGCACGUAGGCGGAUCUUUAAGUCAGGGGUGAAAUCCUGGAGCUCAACUCCAGAACUGCCUUUGAUACUGGGGAUCUCGAGUCCGGGAGAGGUGAGUGGAACUCCGAGUGUAGAGGUGAAAUUCGUAGAUAUUAGGAAGAACACCAGUGGCGAAGGCGGCUCACUGGUCCGGUACUGACGCUGAGGUGCGAAAGCGUGGGGAGCAAACAGG